AAAUUGAAGAGUUUGAUCAUGGCUCAGAUUGAACGCUGGCGGCAGGCCUAACACAUGCAAGUCGAACGGUAACAGGAAGCAGCUUGCUGCUUCGCUGACGAGUGGCGGACGGGUGAGUAAUGUCUGGGAAACUGCCUGAUGGAGGGGGAUAACUACUGGAAACGGUGGCUAAUACCGCAUAACGUCGCAAGACCAAAGAGGGGGACCUUCGGGCCUCUUGCCAUCAGAUGUGCCCAGAUGGGAUUAGCUUGUUGGUGAGGUAACGGCUCACCAAGGCGACGAUCCCUAGCUGGUCUGAGAGGAUGACCAGCCACACUGGAACUGAGACACGGUCCAGACUCCUACGGGAGGCAGCAGUGGGGAAUAUUGCACAAUGGGCGCAAGCCUGAUGCAGCCAUGCCGCGUGUAUGAAGAAGGCCUUCGGGUUGUAAAGUACUUUCAGCGGGGAGGAAGGUGUUGUGGUUAAUAACCGCAGCAAUUGACGUUACCCGCAGAAGAAGCACCGGCUAACUCCGUGCCAGCAGCCGCGGUAAUACGGAGGGUGCAAGCGUUAAUCGGAAUUACUGGGCGUAAAGCGCACGCAGGCGGUCUGUCAAGUCGGAUGUGAAAUCCCCGGGCUCAACCUGGGAACUGCAUUCGAAACUGGCAGGCUUGAGUCUUGUAGAG
rnacentral:rRNA from 1 species